AAUCAACGCUGGCGGCGUGCCUAACACAUGCAAGUCGAGCGAGAAAGUGGGAGCAAUCCCAUGAGUACAGCGGCGACCGGGUGAGUAACACGUGACUAACCUACCCUUGAGUGGGGAAUAACUCCGGGAAACCGGAGCUAAUACCGCAUAACACCGUAAGGUCAAAGGAGCAAUUCGCUUAAGGAGGGGGUCGCGGUUGAUUAGCUAGUUGGUGGGGUAAUGGCCCACCAAGGCGAUGANCAAUAGCCGGCCUGAGAGGGCGCACGGCCACACUGGAACUGAAACACGGUCCAGACUCCUACGGGAGGCAGCAGUGGGGAAUUUUGCGCAAUGGGGGAAACCCUGACGCAGCAACGCCGCGUGAAGGAUGAAGGUCUUUGGAUUGUAAACUUCUUUCGUCCGGGACGAUAAUGACGGUACCGGAAGAAGAAGCCCCGGCUAACUUCGUGCCAGCCGCCGCGGUAAG
rnacentral:rRNA from 1 species